rnacentral:rRNA from 1 species
AUCAUCGAAGAGUUGUUAGAUGAAUUGCAUGGAGCGGCCUGGUUCUCCAAGCUCAAUCUCCAGGCUGGGUAUCAUCAGAUUCGUCUUGCAAAAGGUGAAGAGUACAAGAUAGCCUUCCAGACACACACUGGGCACUAUGAGUUCCAGGUUUUAUCGUUCGGGCUCGCAGGGGGGCCACCUACCUUUAUAGGGGCCAUGACAGACACAUUUCAUCCACUGCUGCGUCACUGUGUACUCCUGUUCUUCGAUGACAUUCUAGUCUUCAGCAAAACGUGGGAAGAGCACCUGGAUCAUCUCAGGCAAGUAUUGACCCUGCUGCGUCGCGAUCAAUGGAAAGUGAAGCUAGCAAAGUGUGAAUUUGGACAA